rnacentral:rRNA from 1 species
GAUGAACGCUAGCGAUAGGCUUAACACAUGCAAGUCGAGGGGUAACGUGUUGGAAGCUUGCUUCCGAUGACGACGACCGGCGGAUGGGUGCGUAACGCGUAUGCAACUUGCCUCACAGUGGAGAAUAACCCGGAGAAAUCCGGACUAAUACUCCAUACACUCUUAAGUACGCCUGUACAUGAGAGGAAAGAUUUAUCGCUGUGAGAUAGGCAUGCGUCCUAUUAGGUAGUUGGUGAGGUAACGGCUCACCAAGCCGACGAUAGGUAGGGGUGCUGAGAGGCAGAUCCCCCACGUGGGGACUGGGACACGGCCCAAACUCCUACGGGAGGCAGCAGUGAGGAAUAUUGGUCAAUGGAGGAAACUCUGAACCAGCCAAGUCGCGUGAAGGAAGAAUGUCCUGAGGAUUGUAAACUUCUUUAGCGAGCGAGUAAGGACUUCCACGUGAUGGGAGUUUGAAAGUAGCUCGAGAAUAAGUAUCGGCUAACUCCGUG